CGCUGCCCGAGUCCACGAAAAGAGCCGAGCAGAGCCGAAGAUUACACUAACCUGCUUGGAUUGGUUGGAUCGCCAAUAGGAAGGGAGGCAGCGCGCUAGCUGGCUGGCACGGCCUAUAAAAGCUAAGCCACGCCUCGUCCCCGCCUUCCCUCGAGCGGCUCUUGAGGUGUAAAUGCAAGUAUGUUUCUCUGGGUGAGUCUGUGAGUCUACGGAGAGAGCUGGAAGACAACGUUUCGGUGUGUUAAAAGAGCUACUAAAAAUUCAGUAAGCACAAAGCCUUAAGGGCGCCGUUUGCCCCAAGUCAAGGUGCCCACGCUUUCUUGCUCAGGUGCACUCCAGGCACCAGGGAAUCUUAGGGCCGGGUCUGGAAGGAUGACAUCACUAGUUGACAUUUUCUCCUACUUUUUUCUGACCACUGUGCUAUAUCAGGGUUUCAAGUGCUUAGAAAAACUAAUUGUAGCACCGAUUUGCAUCUCGUUUGCUGUCUGUGAAGAACGCCAGUGUGAGUAUGACUGAAUCUUUUACCACUCUCCUCAUGCUGUUUCCCAAAGGAGAAGGUCAAGAAGUGACUGGUUUACCAGCUUUGGAAGAGUAAUGGUAAAAAGCAGCUAAGGGGUCUGGGGAUAUUGCUCAAUGUUAGAGCAACUGUGCCUAAUCAGAUGACAUCCCUCAGAGUCUGUGAUCUGUCCCAGGACCCAGUACCAUCCAGGACACAAAAUUAAGCCAGUCUCGCUAAAUGGAGAAGAAACGUCUGCAAUAUAGAAAACACUUUCAUAAAAUUCACGAACGUUUAAAUAUUGUCCUCAAUUCCCACCAAAGCAUUUUGUACUCACUACCCCCCAAAAAAGAAGAAGAAAAUAGGGCCAGG
rnacentral:lncRNA from 1 species